UAAGUGCUGAAAGCAUCUAAGCACGAAACUUGCCCCGAGAUGAGUUCUCCCUGACCCUUUAAGGGUCCUGAAGGAACGUUGAAGACGACGACGUUGAUAGGCCGGGUGUGUAAGCGCAGCGAUGCGUUGAGCUAACCGGUACUAAUGAACCGUGAGGCUUAACCUUACAACGCCGAAGCUGUU
rnacentral:rRNA from 1 species